rnacentral:rRNA from 1 species
CCUACGGGAGGCAGCAGUGAGGAAUAUUGGUCAAUGGUCGGGAGACUGAACCAGCCAAGCCGCGUGAGGGAUGAAGGUACAGAGUAUCGUAAACCUCUUUUGUCAGGGAACAAAGGCGGGGACGUGUCCCCGGAUGAGUGUACCUGAAGAAAAAGCAUCGGCUAACUCCGUGCCAGCAGCCGGGGUAAUACGGAGGAUGCGAGCGUUAUCCGGGUUUAUUGGGUUUAAAGGGUGCGCAGGCGGUCUGUUAAGUCAGCGGUCAAAGCCCGGGGCUCACACCCGGCCCGCCGUUGAAACUGGCAGGCUCGAGUUGGAGAGAAGUAUGCGGAAUGCGCGGUGUAGCGGUGAAAUGCAUAGAUAUCGCGCAGAACUCCGAUUGCGAAGGCAGCAUGCCGGCUCCACACUGACGCUGAGGCACGAAAGCGUGGGUAUCGAACAGGAUUAGAUACCCCUGUAGUC